UGGCAUAUAUAUAUAUAUAUAUAUAUAUAUAUGUGUGUGUGUGUGUGUGUGUGUGUAUGUAUACACACACACACACACACACA
rnacentral:miRNA from 1 species